rnacentral:rRNA from 7 species
GGGUGAAGUCGUAACAAGGUAACCGUAGGGGAACCUGCGGUUGGAUCACCUCCUUA